rnacentral:rRNA from 1 species
GGCGGCGUGCUUAACACAUGCAAGUCGAACGAAAAUACCAAGCUUGCUUGGUUGAUUAGUGGCGAACGGGUGAGUAACACGUGAGUAACCUGCCCCUUACUUUCUGGAUAACUGCUCGAAAGGGUAGCUAAUACGGGAUAUUCUGACCGGCCUGCAUGGGUUGGUUUGGAAAGGUUUUUUUUCUGGUGAGGGAUGGGCUCGCGGCCUAUCAGCUUGUUGGUGGGGUGAUGGCCUACCAAGGCUUUGACGGGUAGCCGGCCUGAGAGGGUGGACGGUCACACUGGGACUGAGAUACGGCCCAGACUCCUACGGGAGGCAGCAGUGGGGAAUAUUGCACAAUGGGCGCAAGCCUGAUGCAGCGACGCCGCGUGAGGGAUGAAGGCCUUCGGGUUGUAAACCUCUUUCGUCAGGGAACAAGGCACUGUCUUUUGGUGGUGUUGAGGGUACCUGGAUAAGAAGCGCCGGCUAACUACGUGCCAGCAGCCG